UUAAUUUAGGGGCAGUUAUAUUAAUGGGGUGUUUAGGGUUAACUUAGGGGCAGUUAUAGUUAAUGGGUGUUUAGGGUUAAUUUAGGGGCAGUUAUAGUUAAUGGGGUGUUUAGGGGGCAGUUGUGGUUGAUG